ACCCUACGGGACGCAGCAGUGGGGAAUAUUGCACAAUGGGGGAAACCCUGAUGCAGCAACGCCGCGUGAGUAAAGAAGGUUUUCGGAUUGUAAAGCUCUGUUAGCAGUUAAUAGGAAGGACGGUACCUUCAGAGGAAGCCACGGCUAACUACGUGCCAGCAGCCGCGGUAAUACGUAGGUGGCAAGCGUUGUUCGGAAUAACUGGGCGUCAAGGAUGCGUAGGCGGAUAAACAAGUUAUAUGUUAAAUAUAUAGGCUUAACCUGUAGAAAGCAUAUAAAACUGUUUAACUAGAGUGCAGGAGAGG
rnacentral:rRNA from 1 species